CAGUUUUUGAUGAAUUACUUAA
rnacentral:miRNA from 1 species